AUAAGGCACACAAUCAGAUGAUAUACAAAAUGAUUUCUUAUGGGUUAUUUACAUUGUUGAAGGGUUUCACUUAGAAACUAUAAAUAUGGAUUUUGACUUCAAUUGAUACAAACAGGUUUACAAUCAAGUCUCUAUCAGCAAAAAAAAAAGAAUAAAUUUCCUUAUUACCCAAUUGCACUUUUUGCCCAUUUUAGUACACAAUUAUAGAAAUGAUUUGUCAUCAUACUAUCUGAUAGAUAGAUAGAUCAUCCACAUGUAUCUGUGUUCAGGUCUUUUCCUGAGGGGAGUAUCCAUGUUCAGGUUCUUUUCUGAGGAGAAUAUCUGUGUUCUCGUCCUUUCCUGUGCGAAUUAUCCGUGUUCAGGUCCUAUCCUGAGGGAAAUAUCUAUGUUCAUGUCCUAUCCUGAGGAGAGUAUCCGUGUUCAGGUCCUUACCUUGAGGAUAGUAUCUGAUUUCAGGUCCUUUCCUGAGGAGAGAAUCCGUGUUCAGGUCCUUUCCUGGGGAGAGUAUCCAUGCUCAGGUCCUUUCCCGAGGAGAGAAUCCGUGCUCAGGUCCUUUCCCAAGGAGAUAAUCCGUGCUCAGGUCCUUUCCUGAGGAGAGUAUCCGUGUUCAGGUCCUUUCCUGAGGAGAGUAUAUGUGUUCAGGUCCUUUCCUGAGGAGAGAAUCCGUGUUCAGGUCCUAUCCUGACGAGAGAAUCCGUGCUCAGGUCCUUUCCUGAGGAGACAAUCCGUGUUCAUGUCCUAUCCUGAGGAGAGUAUCCGUGUUCAGGUCCUUACCUUGAGGAUAGUAUCUGAUUUCAGGUCCUUUCCUGAGGAGAGAAUCCGUGUUCAGGUCCUUUCCUGGGGAGAGUAUCCAUGCCCAGGUCCUUUCCCGAGGAGAGAAUCCGUGCUCAGGUCCUUUCCCAAGGAGAGAAUCCGUGCUCAGGUCCUUUCCUGAGGAGAGUAUCCGUGUUCAGGUCCUUUCCUGAGGAGAGUAUAUGUGUUCAGGUCCUUUCCUGAGGAGAGAAUCCGUGUUCAGGUCCUAUCCUGACGAGAGAAUCCGUGCUCAGGUCCUUUCCUGAGGAGACAAUCCGUGUUCAUGUCCUAUCCUGAGGAGAGUAUCCGUGUUCAGGUCCUUACCUUGAGGAUAGUAUCUGAUUUCAGGUCCUUUCCUGAGGAGAGAAUCCGUGUUCAGGUCCUUUCCUGGGGAGAGUAUCCAUGCCCAGGUCCUUUCCCGAGGAGAGAAUCCGUGCUCAGGUCCUUUCCCAAGGAGAGAAUCCGUGCUCAGGUCCUUUCCUGAGGAGAGUAUCCGUGUUCAGGUCCUUUCCUGAGGAGAGUAUAUGUGUUCAGGUCCUUUCCUGAGGAGAGAAUCCGUGUUCAGGUCCUAUCCUGACGAGAGAAUCCGUGCUCAGGUCCUUUCCUGGGGAGAGUAUCCAUGCUCAGGUCCUUUCCCGAGGAGAGAAUCCGUGCUCAGGUCCUUUCCCAAGGAGAGAAUCCGUGCUCAGGUCCUUUCCUGAGGAGAGUAUCCGUGUUCAGGUCCUUUCCUGAGGAGAGUAUAUGUGUUCAGGUCCUUUCCUGAGGAGAGAAUCCGUGUUCAGGUCCUAUCCUGACGAGAGAAUCCGUGCUCAGGUCCUUUCCUGAGGAGACAAUCCGUGUUCAGGUCCUUUCCUGAGGAGAGAAUCCCUGUUCAGGUCCUUUCCUGAGGAGAGAAUCCAUGUUCACCCAGAUGAGGAUGGGUUCCCUUUUUAAUCUUAAGGUUACUUCCUCAUGUCAUCUCAGGCAGUUUUUCCUCACCAUUUUUGCAUUUGCUUGCUCGUUAGGAAUGGAUUUAUAAAUGUAUAAUAUAUCUUUGAAGUAGUUAUAUUUUGCUUUGUGACCACGUCUAUUAAUCAAAGCACUAUACAAAUAGUCUCUGUACAUUAUUCCAGUGUCUACCAAAAAAAGGUUUUUCAGUCAUGGUUUACUCCAUCAGUAAACACACAACUCUCCAUACUUACAAGGAAUCAAAAUAAUACAUAUGAUUUGCUGCUUCUUGCUGCUCAGGAGACUUAAAAACCGGCAGGAAUUAUGUGGAGAAUUAUUAUUUCUCACGGAUGUGAAAUCACAAGACAAGCUGUAUUUUAAUAUAGUGCUGUCACAUGCUGUGUUUAUUCAGUCAUGGUUGUUGACAGCGUAAAUAUGCACAUCAGAUUGUUAACCCCAGGUUUAGGUUUGGAUAAUUGAACCUACAGUUUAUAGCAACAGCCACUACACAUCCACAGGAUUUAAACCUGGCGUUAAGUCAAUUUCAUUUAUAAUAAGAAAGUUUAUUGAAGGGAAAGAAACAAAAGGAACAAAAUAAUCUUUUGGUAUAUUGUAUUAAAAGAUGGUUGCAUUGCUGUACAUUUCUUGUGGACUAAUUCAAGCACAUGAUACAGGUGGACAUUCAUCAGAGUGUAAGUUUAUUAGCAUAGCUAUUUCAAAUUUUCAGAUACUGCUGUAAGUGGUUUUUACACAGGACAUGUUUGUUAUGAACCGAAUCCGAGCACGAUUGUUUCUGGGCCCUUCGUAGCAUUGAUUCUGUUUUUUGUUUUUUGUUUGUUUGUUUGUUUUUAUUAUUAAACAAAUCCCAGGGGCAUUUGUGUUUUUACAUCACAAUGUAAUAUGCUGCUGUAGGUGUUAGUUGAAAAAACUAAUGAUGUCACAGGUUAUUUCACUUCCUGUUCAAGCACAGAUUCCAGUACAAGUUCAUAUUAAUAGGAAUCGCAGCACAGUUCCAGUGCAACCCAAACUCAAACCACCUCCAUGAAUGUAGUCUCAAUUUCAGUACAAUCAAUAUCGCUUUACUGU